GUUAAAAUCCCCAGCUACAAUAAAUGCAGCCUCAGGAUAUGUGGUUUCCAGUUUACAUAGAGUCAAAUGAAGUUUGUUCAUGGCCGUAGAUGUGUCUGCUUGGGGGGGAAUAUACACGACUGUGAUUAUGAUCGAAGAGAAUUCUCUUGGUAGAUAAUGCAGUCUGCAUUUGAUUGUAAGCAAUUCAAGGUCAGGUGAACGAAAGGACAUGAGUUCCUGUAUGUUGUUAUGAUCACACCACGACUCGUUAAUCAUAAGGCAUGUUUCUGUUGGCGCGAUGCGUGAAGAAACCAGGUGGCUGUACCGACUCCGAUAGCGUGUAUCGAGUGAGCCAUGUUUCCGUGAAACUAAGAACGUUACAGUCUCUGAUGUCUCUCUGGAAGGCAACCCUUGCUCGGAUUUCGUCUACCUUGUUGUCAAGAGACUGGACAUUGGCGCCUUCUGCGGCGCCGUUGUUUUGGGUUGCCGGCUGGGAUCCGAUCCAUUGUCCUGGGUGGUGGGUCAAACAGAGAAUCCGCUUCGGGAAAGUCGUAUUCCUGGUCGUAAUGAUGGUGAGUUGACGUUGCUCUUAUAUACAAUAGUUCCUCCCGACUGUAUGUAAUAAAACCUAAGAUUUCCUGGGGUAACAAUGUAAGGAAUAACACAUAAAAAAACGAAAUACUGCAUAGUUUCAUAGGAACGUGAAGCGAGGCAGCCAUGUCUGUCGGCGCCGGAUGCUACUUUAAUUUAUUCACAUUAAUUAACUAAAAUAUUUCAGUUGUCUACUACAUUUGUUUUAUUUGAUGACUUAUUACAUUACAAGUCAUCAUCUCAUCUCUAUAGAGCAGCUGCCAAUGCUGUCUGACAAAAUCACUAAUUUGUAGUUCUUCAAAGUGAAUAAAGCAUACUUUUAUGACUGCUGACUACCAACUAAUCACUUAGAUCAUGUAUUUUCAAGUUGAGAUAGCCUGCAAAGCAACAGCUGCUCUCCAUAUCACCUCACCUUCACGCAUUUUUCUCUCUGCCAUAGAGUAAAAGAAACAGACUGGACAAGUAGAUGCGCAAUGGAUUCAGCAGGCCGCAAAAUGACCUCCAGCAGGCCACAAAUGUGCAUGUGUCUGCUCAAACGGUCAGAAACAGACUCCAUGAGGGUGGUAUGAGGGCCCGACGUCCACAGGUGGGGGUUGUGCUUACAGCCCAACACCGUGCAGGGCGUUUGGAAUUUGCCAGAAAACACCAAGAUUGGCAAAUUCGCCACUGGCGCCCUGUGCUCUUCACAGAUGAAAGCAGGUUCACACUGAGCACAUGAGCACAUGUGACAGACGUGACAGAGUCUGGAGACGCCGUGGAGAACGUUCUGCUGCCUGCAACAUCCUCCAGCAUGACCGGUUUGGCGAUGGGUCAGUCAUGGUGUGGGGUGGCAUUUCUUUGUGGGGCCGCACAGCCCUCCAUGUGCUCGCCAGAGGUAGCCUGACUGCCAUUAGGUACCGAGAUGAGAUCCUCAGACCCCUUGUGAGACCAUAUGCUGACACAUGCACAUUUGUGGCCUGCUGGAGGUCAUUUUGCAUGGCGCUGGCAGUGCACCUCCUUGCACUAAGGCGGAGGUAGCGGUCCUGCUGCUGGGUUGUUGCCCUCCUACGGCCUCCUCCACGUCUCCUGAUGUACUGGCCUGUCUCCUGGUAGUGCCUGCAUGCUCUGGACACUACGCUGACAGACACAGCAAACCUUUUUGCCACAGUUCGCAUUGAUGUGCCAUCCUGGAUGAACUGCACUACCUGAGCCACUUGUGUGGGUUGUAGACUCCGUCUCAUGCUACCACUAGAGUGAGAGCACCGCCAGCAUUCAAAAGUGACCAAAACAUCAGCCAGGAAGCAUAGGAACUGAGAAGUGGUCUGUGGUCACCACCUGCAGAAUCACUCCUGUUUUGGGGGGUGUCUUGCUAAUUGCCUAUAAUUUCCACCUUUUGUCUAUUCCAUUUGCACAACAGCAUGUGAAAUUUAUUGUCAAUCAGUGUUGCUUCCUAAGUGGACAGUUUGAUUUCACAGAAGUGUGAUUGACUUGGAGUUACAUUGUGUUGUUUAAGUGUUCCCUUUAUUUUUUUGAGCAGUGUAUUUUAAAGUUACCAUUGGCCUCAUGGUGAAAUCGCUGAGCGGUUUCCUUCCUCUCUGGCAACUGAGAUGGAAAGGAAGCCUGUAUCUUUGAGUGUAUUAAUACACCAUCCAAAGUGUAAUUAAUAACUUCACCAUGCUCAAAGGGAUAUUCAAUGUCUGCGUUUUUUUUUACUCUUCUGUCCCUUCUUUGCGAGGCAUUGGAAAACCUCCCUGGUCUCUGUGUUCAAAAUUCACUGCUCGAUGUACAGAUAAUUGUAUGUGCGGGGUACAGGGAUGAGGUAGUCAUUAAAAAAUCAUGUUAAACACUACUAUUGCACACAAAGUGAAUCCAUACAACUUUUUAUGUUAAUUUUUCAGCAAACCUUUACUCCUGAACUUAUUUAGGCUUGCCAUAACAAAACGGUUUAAUACUCAUUGACUCGACAUUUCAUCAAAUUUUUUAAUUACACAAUUCCACGUAUUGUGUGUAGGCCAGUGACACAAUCUCAAUUUAAUCCAUUCAAAUUUCAGGCUGUAACACAACAAAAUAUGGAAAAAGUCAAGGGGUGUAAAUACUUUGAAGGCACUGUAUCUGUUGUGUGAUUGGUUGAGGCCUCUUGGCUAACAUUGUCGCCGAGGAGGGCUAGCUAGUUAGCUCCAGUAUUUGCGUAAUCUCAGACGUUUUCUUAUAAAAACAGCUCAACUACUAGCUAGUGAAAUGCUAAUUGUGAAGCUGGCUAGCUAAUAUUAGCUAAUAGCUAGACCACAGACAAAAGGGUAAACCUUAGUUUGGAGUUAGCUGGUUCUCUUUCAUUUUUGUAACGGUUCAGCCAACAACCUAUGGGAACCCCUUCCCAUGAUGUGAUUGAGAUGCUUAAUUAAGUACCACAGUAUGAGUCAUAUCCAUAAAACCCAGAAAUGGUUAGUUUUCCACCAGUAAUUUUUUUCCGUAGGGGAUUUUAGAACUACUUUGGAUACGGUCUGUGUUUCGUGCAGGCUUAUCCUGGCGUGACUUUUGAUAAUCACACAUAUCUCUCUCAGACAAAGGUAACUUUUAUCAAUAUAUUCGCCUGUAAUUAAUCCCCAAAAAUUAAACGCUAAUGUGGCUAUCAUACAGAACUCCUGCUGCAAGCUUUGACGUAAUCACUCAAGGCGCAGGGUGGGAAAAUCCUCCACAAUUCUCAAUGCAAACUCUCAUCGACAAGUAGCAAGUGACCUAGGAAGUAGAUAUUUUAAAGUUUUUAGUUUCUUGUGUAAAUUAUUUAGAUUGUGUAUUUCUAGUAUGUAUUCUUGUUAAUUUUUCCAAUUACCUAGCUAGCUACCUUAGCAUUUUUUGAUUACAAUAAAAAUUAUUACCCUGGCCUUGUAGCUAACUAUCUAACCUUAGGUCUCUCCGUCGAUCAGAAGCAGGGAUGGUUCUGUGCUAUUUACCGGAUUGUAACCACCACUCCGAUAAGCACACGUGCAUUUUAUCAUUUUCCGACCUCUGUAAGUGAGAGGCAUCGCUGGAGCUGUGUGAUAAGGUAAGCCCUGUUUGCUAGCUGCUAACAAGCUAUUUUAAUUAGGUGAAAGAUCUGUGGUUAGUUAAAUCCUUUUGAAAAUUAGCUAUUUAACCACUGACUAUAGUUAGGCACUUUGGUUGGGAAGUUUGCUACAUUAGCUAAAGUUGAACCGUAUCUCACCGUGGUGUAGUCAGACUUUCCCGACAUGCUAGCAAAUGUGGUUAACGCUAACAAUUAGCGGUAACUAGCUAAUGUUAAAUACCCUGCCCUGGUGGACUAGUUAGCAUGUCACCAACCGUGGGGUCUGGGGAGAAGUCUGACUACACAAACGAUGAACUACCAUAACUAGCUAGCUAAAAACAUUGGAUGCCACAGAUUUAGGACCUGAAUUUUACCUGGGCUAGUAGGUAUCGGGGUCUGCUAACCAGUGCCAAAAAUAAUUAUGUUCCAUCCCUGCAUGUCAGUCCCUUUCAGAUGAUCCCUUUAUCACUGUUGUUCCUCAUCAGUGACCUCACGGUUGAUGGUGUUAACUUUCCGCUUGAGAUUUAGUACAGUCGUAUAGGUCACCGCAAUAUCAAACCUCAAUACUUCACCUCUUUGGGCAAAUAGUACCCUAGACUAUCCUGAUCAUCUAGUUGAGCAUUCCAGAUAAUUCUUCCAUCCCAGCAGAAAUAUCCCAAUCACAUAGUAGGAUUUUAGAUGUGCAGAUAGACCAAAGACCGAUCUAUUUUACCAUUACUAUAGUCAAGUCUGUGGGUUAUGGUAUUUUAAUAUAGAUGUUACCAUUUUAGUGAUCAACUUAGCUAGCUAGUAAAAUUAAUUACUUUUUUUUGUCUUUCAGAUGAUGCAUGAGGAUUGGGUGUAGAGGGACUACUUGUCACAUUGUGCAGUUGUAGAGACUACAGGAUAUCAAGCCUGUGGACGGACAGGUCAGUAACUCAUCAAAUGUAAUACAACAAUGAAUUUGUAGUUAUAUCUGCGCAGUAUGUUUGUCAUGCUUGUGUAUGUGUAACGGCUCUCAUAUGGCUCAUCGACAAAGGACACAGUGCUGUUCUCUUUCACGGUUUAUUCCGCAGACACUACACAAUGUGUAAACCAGUGGUUCUGGUAUCUCAAGACACACCUGAAGAUUCCUCAUGCUCAUCUCUACUACCUGGUAACUGUGUGAUCCAAUCUCGAGUUCUUCCUUCAGAGUCCACAAGCUCCUCAUCAGGUAAAGAUUCACUUUUGAUACUGAAUCCAUCAUCACAUUGUGAGCACCGGAACUUGGAGUCAGGCCAACAGACAUGGAUGAAGAGAGGCCAGAAUCUGCACUUCCAUCGUCUACUGGGAAGAAGUUGACCAACAUGGUCAGGUUCUGAAUAAACUACUUUUUCCUUUCCAGUGUCUGUAUUACAUAUUCUGUAUGUGUGAGUGCCUGGAUUCUUGUCCGCCACAGUGUAUUUUGUCGAUUCCCAUCGAUCUGCCACUUUCCUCUUGCCUUCGUCUUUCUUGUUUGCCAACAGUACCUGAUCGUCGACUUCUAUGGUGGGACCCUUGACCUUUCUGUUAUAAAUCUCAGUUUGUCGGUUCUGUUCUUCUUCAGCAUGUUCCUGCGCUAUCCCCAUAGCAUCCUUCAGAUCAUUGGAGAGCGACACCACAUACAUGUCGUAACUGGUAACAGCUGGAUCGUUCAGAGUGUUUCUGAAAAGCACGUCUACUGGCAGACGAGGGAUCCUUCCAUACAUCAGGUAGAAGGGGGCGUACUCUGUCGUCUCAUCGGUGGUGCAAUUGUACAUGAACGUCAAUGUCUGCAGGUGUCUCGGCCAGUGUUGCUUAGUGUUAGGUGCUACUGCUCUGAUCAUGUCGCCAAGUGUCUGAUUGAAAUGUUCCACGCUGCCAUUACCCAUCGGGUGAUACGGUGUCGUGUGCGACUUCCUCACACCAGAAACUUUGAGUAACUCACUGAUCAAGUGCCUCUCAACUUGCCCCUUGGUCACUAUGAAUUCUCUCAGGAAAUCGAUACACACAGAAGUAUCGGUCCCACAGGAUUCUUGCCACCUGCUUAGCUGAUUGGUCUCUGCUGGGAAACGCUUGAGCCAUUCUUGUAAAAUGAUCUGUUAUCACUAGUACGUCAAUGGACUGGUCAAUGGACUCUUCAGCAGACCAGAAAUCGAUACAAACCAGUUGUAGUGGCCUAGUCGAGAUGAUACUUUCCAGUGGAGCAAUGCCCCCAGGCUCAACUGUCUUGCUGCUGAUGCAAGGGUGGAAACCACGGACAUAAUCCCUAACAUCUCUGUCAAGGUGCAGCCAGGAUAAUUUCUGUCUAGCUAAGCUAAGGCUUCUGAACUGACCCUUAUGACCCGCGUGAUCAUGAACGCCCUUCAGGACUUCUGCUUUGAGACACUCAAGAACUACAUACUGGAACUGCUUGUCUUUGAUAUCUCGUGAGACUCUGUACAGUAUGUUAGCUUCUCCCAACUCUUCAAGUGUCUGAUGACUAACUUUCUCUUCUAGAAGGCCUGCGUUGUCUCUCCACAUAGAAUAGCACACGAGACAGGGUCCUGUCGUUGAGUUGCUCAUCACGAAACUCCUCAGAGUAGGCAGGUAAGGUGUCUUGACCAGGAUGUAUCAGUUGAGGUAAAUGAUGCACGUGUUCUAGCUCCUGUUUCCCGUUUGUCAUGUGACACCUCAUCCGCUGCCAAGGACUGAGAACACAUGUUGACAGGUGUGGAAGUUCUCUGUGAACUUACACAGUUGGGGCUGCCUUCGAGAUCACUGGACCACCUGAAGGCAUCUUGGACUGAAGCAUUUGACACUGCUUGAACGUCGUUAAUGAGGUUUUCGGUGGGGUUCACGUAGCAGUCUGUGGCCAACACCUUUGACAAAGGGCACUCGACUCAGAGCAUCAGCAACCAUAUUCUGAGGACCCGGCACGGGAGACGUCAGGGUGUGCCAACACCACCGUGUCUACUAGAGAUGUCUUCAACUUUUCAAAGGCCUGCUCAUGUUCGGGUGUCCAGUCAGCGACGUUCAAUUUUCGACGCUGUGAGGGCUUUAUUUUCUGACGACCCUUGGGUUUUCUCUUUGAUCCAGUCAACAACGAGAAGAGGUCUGGCUAUUGCGGAGAAACCUGGCACAAAAUGUUGGUAGUAGUUUACCAUGCCAAGGAACGACCUUAUCUGUUUCUGUGAGUCACACCAUCAAAUUCCAUCAGAUCAGCACUGCUCAUGUUAGUGAUGCUGUCGACUUUACUAGGGUCUAUAGACACACCAUUUCUAUCAAUUAUGUGACCAAGGAACUUGACAGACUUCCUGAGGAAGAAGCUCUUCUUUGGGGCCAACUUCAUGUUUUGACUACGAAGCCUGCUAAAGACCAUCUCCAAGCAUUCCAAGGCUGUCUUCUCGUCUGGGCCAAAGACCAAUAGAUCAUCCAAGUAACACAGCAAACUCAUGAAGUUCUGAUCUGGCCAUCAUACGCAUGAAGCUUCCAGGGCUGUUACAGAGACCCUGAGAUAGACGGUUGUAUUCAAAGAGUCAAUAGGUGUUGUGAAAGUGGAAUAUGCAUUGAUAUGUCUGGCCAGACGUGUUGAUCAGCUUCAGUGGGACCCAUCUGUCUCCCCACAGAGGCGUAACAAUCCUUGCCACCAUGAUCCCCUGUGGUGCUGAGCGAGAUGUAGUAGAUUCUUUCAUCACCGUACUGCCAGGAUACACAACGGUGGUAUUUGGUAGCAUACCCCAAACCAGAUACUCGCGACCAGGGUCAAGGCAAAUGGCUAAGUUACAUCUCACUGUUCCUGUCUUGUCAGGGAUGUCAUCGCCUCUCCAGCAUUUCAUUCCAGCUAACAUGGCGAGAAACUGCUCAGAUUCCGUGUCAUCUGUGCUGCAAGGGGCCGAGACUGCUUUCCAAUAAUAGUCACAUUGUUUUGAUUCACGAGGAUGUGCUUGAUCGCGUUGGUUCCCAGUAUUAAUUCAUCAGGUUGACCUUCUACUACCAAGGUUAGAACAAUAGACUUCCAUGUUUAUGUUGAAUGUAGACUUAGGCCUCACACGGCGUCCUCCACAGCCAACAAGCACAACAUCUGAGUUAAACUGGCUUUUCACAUCAACUACACCAGCAUCUAUCAACUUCAGCUCUGCCAUCUCACUCAUUGUGCACACCAUUGACCCACUGUCAAGCAUAGCACCUAGAGUCACUUUGUUACCAACAAUCACAGGUGUGUAAAAUAGGCUGUCGCGUCUUCCUAUCACAUGUGUGUUCUGGUACACAACAUCUCCAGUCAUGUCACUAGAGUCUGGCUGCCAUCUAUAGAGCUUUAGCGUUGGGAGUAUCUUCAUCUUUACCUGUACUGCCUCCCUUGGAACAGGAGCAAAAGAGUGUGAGGCAUGACAUUUUUCAUCGUUAGCUUGGUUAUGUGACACUGGGACAUUGUCGUGCAGAGCAGUGGCAAAACUCUUCAGCUGUGUAACGCUGCUUUGUUUCAUUAAGGCUCUCUGCUCCCUCUGGUACUCAUCGAUCCUCAACUGAACAUCUCUGGAAUUCUACUCAGGAAGUGCUUUGCAGUUGAAUCUACAGGAGAGCUCAGGAUCAGGGCAAUGUUUCACAAACAUGCAGGCUACUUGUUGACUUAUGUUUUCCAUCCUCCCACCCUGUCUGUGUAAACCCUCAUCAGCUAAAUCUGCUGCUUUGUUGAGCCUGGUCCAGUUGUCUACUGAGUCCUCCCUCAGUUUGGGCUUGGUAGAGUAGAAAUCUUCAAGCGGGAGACAUGAUGACGUGUCACUAAAAUACUGCAGGAGGAUAUGAUAGAUUAGAUCUGGGUUCUGUUUCACAUCCAACGACUCGUCACCCCGCAAGUCUAUCUUCACUACAUCCCUAGCUUUUCCCAUCAACCUGCUCAUGAUCUCUUCCGCUUGAUCAGGCACCUCACCACUUUGCUUUUUCAAAUAGUCUGUUGUCAUAUCAACCCACUCUUGAACUGUGUACUUGUCAGAGCUGUCACCUCUGAACACUCCUAUCAGCUAAUGACUGAUAUGUCCCCACUCCCCGACCAUGAAACCCACUGGACAUCGCAUUGAUACCUGUAUGCUCGCCAAACCAAACACCCCUCCCCUUGGCAAUAGGAGUAGUAGAAUUGUAAACUAUUUCACUAUCAGUUGUAAAUUUGUGAGCCAUGACACCACCUUUAGAUUAAACAAAUUAAAUGUAGAAUAAAAAUUGAAAGAAAGAUCGAUAGAGAAAAUAAAAACAGGAAAAACCCUCAACACUGAAAUGACAAAACAGUAGUUUUCACUUCCCCCGGGGAUCUGCUUCAGGCUGAUCUUGAGGAUCCGACGGGUCAUGGCACCAGUGUAACGGCUCUCAUAUGGCUCAUCGACAAAGGACACAGUGCUUUUCUCUUUCACGGUUUAUUCCGCAGACAUACAUACAACACAAUGUGUAAACUUCAGAGCAACUUCAAAUCCGUCAUGAAAUCUCCAUCAAAGUUGAACAACUCUUGGCUGUAUCCUGCGUGAUCAUGCGCACAUAUGCACAGAGAUACAGUUACACAAAUAAUACAGCAGGUGGCUCCACAACUAUACAUACAUACAUACACUGUACAUAACCUGUCUGCUUAAUUAUGACGAAACUCAUACAACUAAGGAUGUCUAAUUCAACCCUGUUACAUAUCGUUCUCAUGAUUUAAGGUUGUGAGUUGAGGGACCACUUGUCACAUUGUCCAAAGUGUGUUUGUGUUAUGAUAAACAAUGUGUUUUCUGUCCAGAUAAAGAUGCUGAUACAGCAUUGAAAGAGACCUACCACUGACCAAAUGUCUCUUUGUUUUCCAGUCUAACAGGAGUUUAUUCUUCAGACUAUUUAGUACAUCCCUCAGACCAUCAGACAUCCUGUGCCAGUGUGAUCCGAGCAUGAGUGUCAAAGUUGUGGAGACUACAGCACAUCGAGCCUAUGGACGGACAGACAUGAGGCGUGACAUGCUGAACAUCAGACAGAGAAGCAGUGCAUGAUCAACGCCACUCUCAGUAAGGAGAUCUGUUGGAAAUGAUCUACUCUCUCUCUUAAUCUCUCACUCUGGGGGUAAGACAUCAUUUAAACAUCUCAUAUAUAAAUUCCCACUGUGCCCAUGGUAAAAUACAAUGUGAAUUGUGUUGUAAUACUGAAUGAAACUGAAGAGAUGCACUUAGACCAGCCUUUGUGAUUGAACUUACAUUAACGGCAUUACUUUAGUUGGCUGCUUUGAGCAAAACUUGAGUCAGUGGAGGCUCCUCAGAGGAGGAAGGGGAGGACCAUCCUCACUGAAUCUUUUGAAAAAUGAAAAUAGUGAAACAUUUAAAAAGUUGUCCUUUUUAGAUCAACUAUGCUAAAUAUAUUCACGUCACCAAAUAAUUGACGAAAACAGACUCGUUUGCAAUGAAGGUCUAUGGUAGCCUCAACAGCACUCUGUAGGGUAGCACCAGGGUGUAGCCGGAGGACAGCUAGUUUCCGUCCUCCUCUGGGUACAUUGACUUCAAUCCAAAACGUAGGCAUCUUGAGGUUCCCCCCCCCUUCCAUAGACUUACACAGUAAUUAUGACAACUUCCGCAGGACAUCCUCACACCUAACAGAAUGAACUGACAUGUUGCCCACCAAAUCAAAGGAUCAGAGAAUGAAUCUAGUAUUGAAAGCAUAAGCUACAGCUAGUUAGUACUGCAGUACAUAACGUGGUGAGUAGUUGACUCAAAGAGGUAGAAAGACAAUAGUUGAACAGUUUUGAACAAAUACAUUUCUUCAAAAAUUAAGGAGAAGCAAAAGAGAGCUAGCUAGCUAGAUUUCAUUUUUUUCUUUCACUUUCACUUACAUAGCUAGCCAACGCAGCUAGCUAGCCUCCUCAAACAACCGUCUCAAACGGAGAGGGAUGCUAUGUUACAUAGCUGGCUAUGGCUAUCCAAACUGGAACUCUUCUAAGUCAAUGUAAGCUUUUAGUUUUAUUAAUAUAUUGCCACCUGGGCCCCCCGGUGUAACUGCUAAACUGCAUGAUUGUAGUGUGUUUACUAAAGCGUUAGUUCUAACAGCUAUGUUGUCUUGACGUUAGCUAAUAUGGUGACGACGAUGUUGGCUGUGUGUAGUGGUUAUGAAAUGAAGGUUUGGCUUGGAAAGUUUUUUUUAUCACCAGGUCACAGACAGCUGAUGUGUUGUGCCCUGAAUGUACCUAGACCCCGUGACCCAAAGCCCUGACUUCUGCACAUCCAUCCCUGUAGCCAUUUUGAAUGCCCUGGUGCCCUUUUCUUCAUUAUCUGUGUCCCACUUUACAGACAACACCCCAUCCAACGACUGAUCUGAAUACCCUUUUUAGCAGCGACGGAGUAACGCGAUUGGCCCUAACCACUACUCCAUAAUUGCUGGCCGUCAACCUCCCUCUCCUCAUGGUGUGCCUGUUGGGGUUGGUGCGCUGUCCAACUGUUGCCUGCCGUAUAACUUCCUGAAAUGUGCUAUAUAAAUAAAGGUUGAUUUGAUUGAUGACAUUACGGCUGUAGAAUAUUUAAUAAACUGUCAUUUUCACAAACUAUUCAUUGAUAACUUGGGAUUUUAUCACUUAACAUAUUGAUCAUAUAGUGAGAAGGAUCCUACAAAUCAACAAUGUGAACCACUCAGAAUAAAUAAAUACUGUGCCUCUGAAGAUUUGUCUCUGGUCAUGAAACUACAAUACACAGGCUGGAUGUCUAAGUCAAUUCUGAAUGUCAACAGAUUUUUUUGAUUUUAGGACUAAGUUAUACCUCAUCUAAGUCUGGUAUCCGGGGUAGUCUGGUUAAUGAUUAUAUAAUUGAUUAAGGGACUCUUGACAGCUGUAUAGAACGCAUUGUAUUGCUAAGAUGCUCAAAAGUAAAACAAAAAUAUAUUUUUAUCUACUGCUCUGCUAACUAGCUAGAUAAAGUGUAGCCAGUGGCUAGAUAAGACAGAAAAAGGGGACGUAAGCAGUUCAACACUUUAUUAAAUUCAUUUCAAUAGAGCACAUGGAUUCAUCAUGGAUUGUUCACAGAAGGUCUUUGAUCACGCUGGUGAAUGGGAGCUGACAGUGUUGGCUAGAGAUGACGUGCAGGAGCUUCCUGUUGGAAUUUGUAGUCUUGCUAAGGUCUUCUCUGUUGCUAAUUAGCAUUUCCAUUUUUUUGAGAGUAAAUUGAGGUGAAUAUAUUGAUAAAACUCACCUAGUCUGAGAGAAUUACACAGCUACACUAUAUAUACAAAAGUAUGUGGACGCCCCUUCAAAUUAGCAGCACUAGCCACUCGCCAAGCAGUUAGAGUCCUGAACUACUUCGACCAGUGGUCACCAACCGGUAAAUAGCAAUCCUCAUAGCAUUCCUAGUUGAUCACCAAACAUUUCUGUAGAAAAGCCAAUGAUAAAGACUUGCUUGCACUUUUAAAAAACAAUGUAUUUCAUGUUGCUCAGUUGGUGGUAGGUGCACUUGAUUCAGAAGCCCUGUGCACCGGGUAAGCAAAAUGUUCCCAUUUUUAACCAUUUUAAUUUGUCUGAAAAACUCUGCUCACCCGGCAGACAUGGAGACCUGUGGCUAAAUCGAGUGUGCCUACUGCGCCAAUCGGAUAGUUUAAAUCACCGUGCCUACCGUUUCCCCAAAGUUUGAUAGUAGCCUAUGUGAGAUUUCAUAACUUUUAAAAUCUUAAGUGUGAAAACCUUAAAAAGACUUACAGAAAACGUUUGACCUCUAUCAUUGCCAACAAAGGGUAUAUAACAAAGUAUUGAGAUAAACUUUUGUUAUUGACCAAAUACUUAUUUUCCACUAUAAUUUGCAAAUAAAUUCAUAAAAAAUCCUACAA